AGAGUUUGAUCCUGGCUCAGGAUGAACGCUGGCGGCGUGCCUUAGGUAUGCAAGUCGAACGGUCCCGCAGCAAUGCGGGAGAGUGGCAAACGGGUGAGGAAUUACGUAGGUAAUCUACCCCUAUCACGGAAAUAACUCCGCGAAAGCGGGGCUAAUGUCCGAUAGUAUGGAGGUUAAAAUCUUCAUUAAAGAUUGGGAGCAAUCCCUGUCAGAUAGGGAUGAGCCUGCGUCCUAUCAGCUAGUUGGUGAGGUAAUAGCUCACCAAGGCGACGACGGGUAGGGGGUGUGAGAGCACGGCCCCCCACAAUGGCAUUGAGAUACGGGCCAUACUCCUACGGGAGGCAGCAAUCAGGAAUUUUGCGCAAUGGACGAAAGUCUGACGCAGCGACGCCGCGUGGAGGAUGACAGCCUUCGGGUUGUAAACUCCUGUGAUAGAGGAACAUGAUGAGGGUACUCUAUUAGAAAGCCACUGCUAACUACGUGCCAGCAGCCGCGGUAAUACGUAGGUGGCAAGCGUUAUCCGGAGUUAUUGGGCGUAAAGAGUAGCGUAGGCGGUAGAAUAAGUUCUUAGUGAAAUCUCCCGGCUUAACUGGGAAUCCGCUAAGAAUACUGUUUUACUAGAUGUAGGGAGGGGAAAGCGGAACUCUCGGUGUAGGGGUGAAAUCCGUUGAUAUCGAGAGGAACACCAAAGGCGAAGGCAGCUUUCUGGACCUAUCAUGACGCUCAGGCACGAAAGCGUGGGGAGCGAAACGGAUUAGAUACCCGUGUAGUCCACGCUGUAAACAAUCCCCGCUAGAUAU
rnacentral:rRNA from 1 species